rnacentral:rRNA from 1 species
UGGCUCAGGACGAACGCUGGCGGCGUGCCUAACACAUGCAAGUCGAGCGGAGACAGUGAGUAGCUUGCUAUGAGCUGUUUUAGCGGCGGACGGGUGAGUAACGCGUGAGCAACCUUUCCCAGACAGGGGAAUAACACACCGAAAGGUGUACUAAUACCGCAUAAGACCACGGGAUCACAUGGUUCUGGGGUAAAAGAUUUAUCGGUUUGGGGUGGGCUCGCGUCCGAUUAGGUAGUUGGUGAGGUAACGGCCCACCAAGCCGACGAUCGGUAGCCGACCUGAGAGGGUGAUCGGCCACAUUGGGACUGAGACACGGCCCAAACUCCUACGGGAGGCAGCAGUGGGGAAUAUUGGGCAAUGGAGGAAACUCUGACCCAGCGACGCCGCGUGAGGGAAGAAGGUUUUCGGAUUGUAAACCUCUGUUGACGGAGAAAAAAUGAUGGUAUCCGUUUAGAAAGCCACGGCUAACUACGUG